UGUCCUUCCAUCCAUCCACCCUUCCAUCCAUUUGUCCAUCCACCCAUCCACCUAUCUAUCUAUUCAUCCAUCCAUCCAUCCACCCACCCACCCCACAAGCAUUUACAGAUCACAUCUCUGUGCCAGGUAUGAUGUUUUCCUCUUCCAAGAAAAUAAAACAACAAGCAUCAGAUACAAAACCCAAACCCAUCAAUCUAGGUCAUUUCAACUGUAUAUAUAUAUAUUUUUUGGGGGGAUCACUUGUAUCUUGAAUUAUUCAAUUUUCCUGUAAACAUUUAAUUGUGUUAUUAGUGAAGCAUUUAUUCAGUUAUUCCUGAAACCUUCCAUGACAAAAUAUAUUUUUAAAAAAGUGGGACAACUAAUUUUACCCCCAGAGGAGAGUCAUAUUUUGCAGUCAGUGAAGCAUUUGAAGCAGGCCAAUGCUGGUGUGUCCCCACGGUGGAUGGGCAUGAGAACGAUCCCCUGUGCAGAGCGGCUGCUCCUCGAAUCAGGUGCCGCCUCCUUCUCUUGCAGGCAUCUGGGGCCCCGCUGGGACCGAAGACACUUUAACGUCUUAACUGCAGUGCCCAGAUGCGGCCCCUGCCCCAGCAAGCGGCUCCUCCUAACCCUUUUUCAUGGAGCCCUGUCUUCUAUCAAUAUCCCUGUUCAAGUUGAAAUAGAUUUUGUUUUCAGUCCCAAAGAGGAUU
rnacentral:lncRNA from 1 species